rnacentral:tRNA from 1 species
GCCUUUAUAGUGUAACGGUAGCACACUCGGCGCGUAUUCAAGAGGUCUAGGUUCGAGUCCUGGCAAGGACA